rnacentral:misc_RNA from 1 species
CAACAUGAUAAUUAACUAGAAUAAUUGAAAAAAAAUAAAACAAUAAUAAUAGCAAUAGGGGGAUAUUUUAAGAUAUUAAAGAAAAUAAGUAAAAUGAUGUGAUGUGGGCCAUGUUUGUACAUGAAUGGCUAGUAUUUCAUGGUGGAGAUGAGAUAAUGGAUGGCAUCAUCCACAGGCUUCAUAUCCAUGGGCAGCCAUGGACUUGCUUGGGGUCAACCAUCAAACAUUUGCUUCGUCUUCAACAUCCCAUCAAAUAUUAAUUUAUAUUUUUUGGUCAUGGAAUAAGGUUUCAAUUGAGUUUCAUGAAAAUAUAAUGCCUUUUGAACUUAGUUUUAAUGGAGGACGGAAGUGAAUUAGUACCCCAUCUUCCUAAU